AGUCGCCAGAUGGCGCUUGUGCUUCUCACAUUGUGAACUGUACUGUGGCUCUCCUGCAUCCCACUGAAACCACUCCUCUGCUUUGCUGCAGUUUUUCCUUAGACGCCCCCUGCAGAUUAGCCAUCAGCACUUUUGCGUAGCUGGCCCCUGGUCUGUGAUUUCCCUUGUUGAAUACCCACCAGCCCCUGCCUCACUGGGAACUCAGGCCCUGGGUUUCCCUACUGCCACAUGCCAUAUCUAGGGCUCCCAGAGGGACUUGGAAAGACUAUUUUGUUUUCUUGCCCCCACAGGAGAGGCAAGAGAAAGCACUAGGCAUCCCGACGUAUUUGGGCCAGAGCGCAGCAGAGGCUCAAACGCAACCUCCUUGGUACCAGCUCCCCCCAAGGCAAGGGGGCUGCCCUCCAGGCCCAAGCCCAGACGAGAAGAUCAAGAGCCGGUUGGACCCCUUGAGGGACAUGCAGAAGCACCUGGGAAAGAAAAGGCACAGCAGUGAAAGCCGUCCUUCCAGAGAGGAGCGGCCUCAGAAACAGCGGCCCAAAGAGCCACCUUCCCUAGAACAGC
rnacentral:lncRNA from 1 species